CCUACGGGUGGCAGCAGUGGGGAAUAUUGGACAAUGGGGGCAACCCUGAUCCAGCCAUGCCGCGUGUGUGAAGAAGGCCCUCGGGUUGUAAAGCACUUUCAGUGAGGAAGAACGCCUGGUGGUUAAUACCCAUCAGGAAAGACAUCACUCACAGAAGAAGCACCGUCUAACUCCGUGCCAGCAGCCGCGGUAAUACGGAGGGUGCGAGCGUUAAUCGGAAUUACUGGGCGUAAAGCGCGCGUAGGUGGCUUGAUAAGCCGGUUGUGAAAGCCCCGGGCUCAACCUGGGAACGGCAUCCGGAACUGUCAAGCUAGAGUGCAGGAGAGGAAGGUAGAAUUCCCGGUGUAGCGGUGAAAUGCGUAGAGAUCGGGAGGAAUACCAGUGGCGAAGGCGGCCUUCUGGACUGACACUGACACUGAGGUGCGAAAGCGUGGGUAGCAAACAGGAUUAGAUACCCCGGUAGUC
rnacentral:rRNA from 1 species